CCUACGGGAGGCAGCAGUGAGGAAUAUUGGUCAAUGGUCGCAAGCCUGAACCAGCCAAGUAGCGUGAAGGAUGACGGCCCUAUGGGUUGUAAACUUCUUUUAUAGGGGAAUAAAAUGAGGCACGUGUGCUAUUUUGUAUGUACUUUAUGAAUAACGACCGGCUAACUCCGUGCCAGCAGCCGCGGUAAUACGGAGGUUCCGGGCGUUAUCCGGAUUUAUUGGGUUUAAAGGGAGCGUAGGCGGGUUGUUAAGUCAGCUGUGAAAGGUUGAGGCUCAACCGGGAAAUUGCAAUUGAAACUGGUUGGCUUGAGUGCAGGAGAGGUAAGCGGAAUUCGUGGUGUAGCGGUGAAAUGCUUAGAUAUCACGAAGAACUCCGAUUGCGAAGGCAGCUUACUGAACUGCCACUGACGCUGAGGCUCGAAAGUGUGGGUAUCAAACAGGAUUAGAUACCCGGGUAGUC
rnacentral:rRNA from 1 species